UACGUAGGGGGCUAGCGUUGUCCGGAAUCAUUGGGCGUAAAGCGCGUGUAGGCGGUCCGGUAAGUCCGCUGUGAAAGUCGGGGGCUCAACCCUCGGAUGCCGGUGGAUACUGUCGGGCUUGAGUACGGAAGAGGCGAGUGGAAUUCCUGGUGUAGCGGUGAAAUGCGCAGAUAUCAGGAGGAACACCAAUUGCAAAGGCAGCUCGCUGGGACGUUACUGACGCUGAGACGCGAAAGCGUGGGGAGCAAACAGG
rnacentral:rRNA from 1 species